UACGGGAGGAGCAAGCGUUGUUCGGAUUUACUGGGCGUAAAGGGCGCGUAGGCGGCCACCGCAAGUCGACUGUGAAAUCUCCGGGCUUAACUCGGAAAGGUCAGCCGAUACUGCGGGGCUAGAGUGCAGAAGGGGCAACUGGAAUUCUCGGUGUAGCGGUGAAAUGCGUAGAUAUCGAGAGGAACACCUGCGGCGAAGGCGGGUUGCUGGGCUAACACUGACGCUCAGGCACGAAAGCGUGGGGAGCAAACAGG
rnacentral:rRNA from 1 species